GGAUCAAAGCUUUGUUGGUCACCUUGAAACUUGUGUGCUCCGAUUGAAAAAAACCUCCCAUCUUUUAGAGUUAUACUUGUAAAUAAUAUCCAGUACAUUGGGAGACAUCCUCUUGGCUAGUCUUUAAUAUUCCCCUCCAGCCUUAGGUGAAGAUGUCAGCAUUGAUUUAGCAUAAGCAAAGCUCAUUCCCCUUCAAUUUGAAGCCCUUGCAUAAGACAUAAUAACUUUUCUUCUCUUUCACAGAGGGAAGCUCUUACUGCACACUAUCCAAAACAACCCUGUAGAGACAUUGGUGGUGAUGUCUUCAGUAAGGAGGGGACCCUCACCAUGAAACUGGUAAAUGUGCUCGAGAUUGACAUGCUGUUUUCAGAUAUCGCUGAAACUUUCAACAAGCAGCAUGGGAAUCACUGGGCCAUGAAGGAAGCCAUCCAAAGGCUGAAAGAAGUCUCUGGCUGUGCUCCCACUAAUAGUCUUGCAGCCUGCAUAGAGAAUAUAAAGCAGCAGCACGGUGCCUGCAAUGUACAGGUGCACAUGGAGGGCUAUAGGUUUUCACUCGUUGCAGAGGAAAAAGAAGUGCCUGAAAAAUUGGAGCAAGCCCAACGGCAGGUAGGGGAGCUGAAUCAUGCCACAAAGUGUGUCAUUGCUAUGGAAAUGAAGCUCCAGGAAAUGGUCUGCUCUGUGCUUCAGCGUCAGAGUCAGCUGGAGGAGACAGUGAAAGCUGGAAACCCAGAGUACCUGGACCAAGUACGGCUAGAAGUUAAUCUGAGAGAGAACUUUCAGAACGUAAGCCUGGCCAAAGACCUCUCAAAGCAGUAUGGAGAAGAUGCCAGCAGGGUGCUGAAGGAAAUGGCCCAGUUAGCUGGCCUGACCCUAUAAAGGGGCUUCAGAAAUUGGGAUAGAAUUGGAGUUCAUGUCCUGCAUUUAUUACCCAAGGAUUGUGUACAUAAUGAUGAAUUAGAGCCCACUCUGGUAGUGCAGUCAUCAUGUGGACAACAAAUAUGCACUCAGCAAAUAGCUUAUGGGUAGCCCUGGGUAUUAAGUUUGUUCUGUUCGCUCAAGGAACCUUAGCCAGGGCACAAGAAUUUGUCCCCAGAGGGCCUUUGACUUCCAUCUUGAAAAUCACCAGUGGACAGAAGGUACCUCCUCCCUUUACUAUAGCAAUGUCAACACUUGAGUUCUAAUGCAGGAUUUCAAUCCCUACUCUGUCUUUCUGGCUGGAGGCCACCCAUAGAUUCCACUUUGUGCAAGUUGAAUUCCUGAGCAGCAGGUUAAGUCAGCUUUCCAGCUGCUUUGCCACACCAGAGCAAUGCAAAGCAACCAGAACUAGGCCAGAGAGUGUAUGUGACUUGUUUAAGACAACCUGUCUGUCACAGUUUAUAUUGGAAUUCAGUAGCAUUCCCACCCUUAUUUUUUAGGUCAAACUAGACUGCCUCUCAAAUCUUAAACACAGCUUGUGUGCUAAAACCAGGUGUUCAGAUUAAAGGCCAGAAGUACCCAUGGAAGGUAUAGAGAUAUACUCUACAUUGCUUAUUAUUGCUAUAGAUAAUCAUCUGAACUUAAAGGCAUGUAUCUCCUGUGCUACUAGUUGCUGCUUUUCCUCCUCACUCAUCUCUUGAAAUUCCCAAAAGUACACAUGCUUCCCAUGUUCAUUGAGACAGAACCUUGAGGCAGGCAACACGUUACUAAAAUAGCACGGGUGUGUUGCAAGUUGGUAUUAAGAUGCAUCAGCAUAGCAGUACAGGGCCCCAGGACUGGGAUAACAGGAGUUGUUACAGAUGUGGAUUAAACUGCAUUGGAAAGGUUGGCAAGACUAGGAUUUCAGGACUGCUUCUCUUUAGGUAUGAGGUGUAUUAACAUAGAUGUGUGGGGACUGCAGAGCAUCAGGAAAACUGUGAUGGGGGACUAGGACUGGGACAGCAUGGACUGGUGUGCUGAAGAUCAGGUGUGAGGGACAUUGCCAGACUGAAUCGAUUAGCACUAUGCUGGAUUAUUAACAGCACUAUUCCACUACUUCUACAAGAGCACUACAUGAACUCAAACAAUGGAAAUAGGACAACCUGCAAAUAUCGGGUGCUUGUCAUGAGAGUAAUGGAAUCUUGGCUGAACAGUUCGCAGGGACACUAGCCUUUGAAGUCCAACUGGAUCACAGCUGCAGUGCCUCACGCACACUCAGCUGAGCCUGAGGGGAAAGGAAGGUCAGAAUAAUUCCAUAACACUUUAGCCCAGGAGGCCUGUCAUUAAAAUGGGCCUCUUUGGAGAAAGGACUGUGUGACUGGGGGAGAGUGGGAUGGUUUUGCAAGUGCUGGACCUGGCUGGUGGUUGAAAAGCUCAUUGAAUUUGUCACAUUUUUGAGAGAUGAUGGACAAAAUAGAAACCACAAGUGAAAUCCUAUCCAGCCUGCUAGAGCUCCAUAAAUAACUACAAAGGAGCUCAAUCUCUGGGUUUUUAGAUUGUCACUCCUGUACCCCAUAUUGUUGUUUUAAAUUUUGUUCUCAUUUGCCAUUGCUCACCCCCAAAAUACAUCAGAGACCCCAAGAGACUUAUCUUGCCCUUACACAUCCUCUCACCAUCCCUCAUCUCAUCACACACCUCACUGGGACAGUUUACUGCAGGUUUCUUUGCUCUCUCAGCGGUGAGCUGCUCUCUGUAAAUAUCCACCAGACUCUGUCCUGCCAGAAAUCCAAACUAUUCAGACAUUUCCUUUUGGAGUUUCAGGAUGCCCGCUUGCUAGAUGCCGGCUUUGCACAAACUCACAAAAACCCAGCAGAGAAAUGCUGAUCGCUAUUAUUAUUUUCUUGGACCUAAAUGCAAUCAAAUGCUCCGGCAUUCAGAUCAGACUGGGCAUAUGUCACCCCUUCCUUGCCUAUCUCCCAAACUUUCUCUCUCUCUCUAGUUCUUUUCAUUUUGUUGUUGAAGGAACUUGGGAAAUAAGUACGUUGCCACAGCUAUUUCCUGCUGCUCUGCCGGUAACAUCUUGAAAACUGCAAGAUAUGCCUCUUUUUUCAAACAAAUGGGCAUUUUCAGUUGUCAGUGGCUCACAAAGCUCACCUUCUGUAUUUGCUUUCUUGGUGCAUUGAGUUCUCUGUGGCCUAUCACUGCCCCUCAUGAAGGAAAAUAACCCAGAUGGCUUACCCCAACAAAUCCUGCAUUCCCUGAUUAUCACAGAGAGAUAGCUGUGAUCACACUAUGUUGUCUGCUAGGGCUGUGUUGCAUUGUGUGUGGCUCUUCCUGAUUAGAGAGGGGGUGGGUGAGCGUGUUAGUCAACAGUAUUUAUGAUCCUUUUAAUAAAAUAUAC
ensembl:lncRNA